rnacentral:siRNA from 1 species
AGCGGUUAUAAAAGUGCGGUGUGG